CUUCCUGUGUUGAGGGUGGUAACAGGCAGCGGCGGUCUUAGCUGGAAAAAUAAGUUGGUGACCCAGUGCCAGUCUCCAGGAUUUUUUUUGCAGUCCAACAUCUAUCUACUUCAUCCAACAGAGAGACAUCUGAACUUUUGGGAAGUCUAUAUUCAAGCCGGGAGAGGAGCUCCUACUAGGAAACUCUGAUACACUCCACGGAGAGAAGACUUGAAUACCUCCGGUGGACUGUUUCAGUCGCUUAUCUCCUCCCACACCUGGGACAGGUGUGCAUUUAGCUCUGUGAGGAAGAGCACAGAGUUUUCCUGCGGGGACACUCACGUCAUCAAGGUUGGAGGCAAUAAGAACAGUCCAAGGUUCUAGUCCCUUCUUGUGGAUUCCAGUUCAUCCUUGGGGGUCCGAGCUCCUCGUCUCUUCCCUACAGCACACCCAUCCGCCCUUCCAGAACACCCACCCUG